GGCUUAAUACAUGCAAGUCGUGGGGCAGCAUGAGUAGCAAUACUUGAUGGCGACCGGCAAACGGGUGAGGAACACGUACACAACCUUCCUUCAAGCGGGGAAUAGCCCAGAGAAAUUUGGAUUAAUACCCCAUAAUAUAUUUGAUAGGGCAUCUUAUUAAUAUUAAAGCUUCGGCACUUGAUGAUGGGUGUGCGGCUGAUUAGAUAGUUGGCGGGGUAACGGCCCACCAAGUCUACGAUCAGUAGCUGAUGUGAGAGCAUGAUCAGCCACACGGGCACUGAGACACGGGCCCGACUCCUACGGGAGGCAGCAGUAAGGAAUAUUGGACAAUGGACGAAAGUCUGAUCCAGCCAUGCCGCGUGAAGGAUUAAGGUCCUCUGGAUUGUAAACUUCUUUUAUAUGGGACGAAAAAGGGCAUUCUUGUUCACUUGACGGUACCAUAUGAAUAAGCACCGGCUAACUCCGUG
rnacentral:rRNA from 1 species